rnacentral:rRNA from 1 species
AACGAACGCUGGCGGCAUGCCUAACACAUGCAAGUCGAACGAGACCUUCGGGUCUAGUGGCGCACGGGUGCGUAACGCGUGGGAACCUGCCCUUAGGUUCGGAAUAACUCCCCGAAAGGGGUGCUAAUACCGGAUAAUGUCUUCGGACCAAAGAUUUAUCGCCUUUGGAUGGGCCCGCGUUGGAUUAGCUAGUUGGUAGGGUAAAAGCCUACCAAGGCGACGAUCCAUAGCUGGUCUGAGAGGAUGAUCAGCCACACUGGGACUGAGACACGGCCCAGACUCCUACGGGAAGCAGGAGUGGGGAAUAAUGGACAAGGGGCGAAAGGCUGAUCCAGCAAGGCCGCGUGAGUGAUGAAGGGCUUAGGGUUGUAAAGCUCUAUGAGCCGGGAUGAUAAUGACAGUACCGGGAGAAUAAGCUCCGGCUAACUCCGUG